UGGUGGAGUGAUUUGUCUGGUUAAUUCCGUUAACGAACGAGACCUUAGCCUACUAACUAGUCGCACCAAGCACGCUUGGCGCCGACUUCUUAGAGGGACUUUGUGCUUUUUAAACUACAAGGAAGUUUGAGGCAAUAACA
rnacentral:rRNA from 1 species